ensembl:lncRNA
GACAGAGUGAGUUCAUUACAGAUCACUGACACUGAGACCUUCGACUGAGAAAAGAAGCCAUUUAAGGUCAGGAAACAGAAUAAAAUCUUAUUAUUUUCCUAGUGUACAGGUACAGUACAGGUACACUGUCUACAGGUACAGUACAGGUACACUGUCUACAGGUACACUGUCUACAGGUACAGUACAGGUACACUGUCUAAAGGUACAGUACAGGUACACUGUCUACAGGUACACUGUCUAAAGGUACAGUACAGGUACACUGUCUACAGGUACACUGUCUACAGGUACAGUACAGGUACAAUGUCUACAGGUACAGUGUCUACAGGUACAAAACAGGUACACUGUCUACAAGUACACUGCCUACAGGUACACUUUCUCUUUUCUCUCUUUCUUUGUGUCUCCUUUUGCAGUCUGUCUCUCUCUCCCUUCCUGUCUCUCUCUCUAUGUCCCUGUUUCCUUUUACCCCCUUUUCUUUCUUCCUC